AACCCAUGGUGCGGGCCUUUUUGACUCAAAGUUUUAAAAUGUUCCCAAGCCUCAUGAAAACUUUCUCCUUCCAUCUGUCUAAAAAUAGCAAUCUCUCUUCUUAGUU
rfam:Gossypium arboreum cultivar AKA8401 contig_94210_1, whole genome shotgun sequence.